rnacentral:sRNA from 1 species
UAGAAGUUAUCACAUCCCAAACAUAUACCCCUUUGUUUGUUCGUCGUGAAAUUUCUCCCAUCCCCUUAAUCGUAUAAAUAGGUGAAAACCCCAGCAAAUUUCGUGAUUUGCCGGGGUUUUUC